CUGGGAUUCCUCCUGGACCUUCUUUUGUUUUUUUCUCUAUAUUAAAAAAAAUGCUUCAAUGAUCCUCUUUUCUUUUUUUAGAAACAAUAUUUCUAAAACUUCUCUUCUCCCACCUCCGUACGAACCUCAACAAUUCUUGUAACAAAUAAGCACAGUCAAGCGAAACAAACCACACAUUUGCCAUGUCAAGAAAUGUGUCUCUUUCUGCACCUUGAAUCCAUCAUCCCUCUUGUAGUAGGAGGUACUUGUUAGGCAUUUAUUUCUUUACCUGUACAAGAGGGACAAUAAUCUCACUGCAAGACAGUAAGUCACUGCCAAACCCCCAGGUGAAAGGUAAGUGCAUUUUAAAAAAUAUUGUUCUUUAUAUUUCCCCUUUAAACCUGUUUCUGUAUGUCUUAAAACUUAUUUAAAACUCAAAAGCUCAAAAAAAUGUUCAAUUUUUGUUAGUAUUUAAUGAGCUAUGGUAUACUGGAAAGAGCAUCAUCUCUAGAGUUAGAGGAUCUGGAUUAAAUUAUACCUCUGACCUUCUAUUAUCU
rnacentral:lncRNA from 1 species